rnacentral:rRNA from 1 species
AGAGUUUGAUCAUGGCUCAGAUUGAACGCUGGCGGCAUGGCUAAAACAUGCAAGUCGAGCGCGAAAGAGGGGCAACCCUCAAGUAGAGCGGCGAAAGGGUGAGUAAUGCGUUCCUACGUGCCUCAAGGUCGGGGAUAGCCAGGGGAAACUCUGGGUAAUACCCGAUGUGGUCGCAAGAUCAAAGGCUUGCCGCCUUGAGAGCGGGGAACGUCCUAUCAGGUAGUUGGUGAGGUAACGGCUCACCAAGCCUUCGACGGGUAGCGGGUGUGAGAGCAUGGCCCGCCACAUCGAAACUGAGACACUGUUCGGACUCCUACGGGAGGCUGCAGUAACGAAUCUUCCGCAAUGCGCGAAAGCGUGACGGAGCAAUGCCGCGUGCAGGAUGAAGCCCUUCGGGGUGUAAACUGCUGUCAGGGUUUAGGAAGCACGUGACCAAACCCAAAGGAAGAGACGACUAACUCUGUGCCAGCAGUCGCGGUAAUACAGAGGUCUCGAGCGUUAGUCGGAGUCACUGGGCUUAAAGCGUACGUAGGCGGAUCUGCAGGCGUCAUGUGAAAUCCCUCAGCUCAACUGAGGAACUGCACGGCGAACCGCAGGUCUUGAGACAAGUAGGGGCGGUCGGAACGAUAGGUGGAGUGGUGAAAUGCGUUGAUAUCUAUCGGAAUGCCGAAGGUGAAAACAGGCCGCUGGGCUUGGUCUGACGCUGAGGUACGAAAGCGUGGGGAGCGAACGGGAUUAGAUACCCUAGUAGUCC